AUGAACGCUAGCGGCAGGCUUAAUACAUGCAAGUUGAGGGGGCAGCAUGAUAUACGCGAGUAUAUUGAUGGCGACCGGCGGACGGGUGAGUAAUAGGUAGGAGACCUACCUCAUACAGGGGGAUAGCAUAGAGAAAUCUGUGGUAAUACCCCAUGAGGUUAUAUGAAUAGAGGCAUAUAAUCAAAGCAUAAGCGAUUAUGCGGUAUGAGAGGGGCCUACUGACCAUUAGCUAGUUGGUGAGGUAAGGGCUCACCAAGGCGAAGAUGGUUAGGGGUUUGAGAGAGAGACCCCCCACAUUGGAACUGAGAGACGGUCCAGACUCCUACGGGAGGCAGCAGUAGGGAAUAUUGGGCAAUGGGCGAAAGCCUGACCCAGCCAUGCCGCGUGAAGGAAGACGGCCUUAUGGGUUGUAAACUUCUUUACUACGCGAAUAGAGGUUAGUACGAGAUACUAAUAGGAAGGUAGUGUAGUAAAAAGCACCGGCUAACUCCGUG
rnacentral:rRNA from 1 species